UGGACUGUAUUGCUCUUUUCAUUCAGUUCCUUUUUCUCUGCAAGAAACUCUUGAAUAUAUUUGUAAUGACAAGAGAAACCUUUUUUGCUUCUACAAAAUUUAUAGCAGCGUUCUAUUUUUCUGCCAGAAAAUCCUCUUACAGAGACCUCCACUGGGAGAGCUGUGUCUGUUUAAAGGGGAACAUCUGCUCUACUUGUCACCCCACGGCUGCAUGCUACCCGAGGACAUGCGGAUGGUCAGUAUUUCCGCCUGAUGCCAGCAUAUAAAAGCUGCCUGAAAGAAGGCUCCGUGACAACAAGCACUGGGAGGAUGGAGCACUGAGCCUGCAGCAAAUAUCUGAAUUUAUUCAAAAACUACAAAGCAGAAGGUAACGUAAGACAUGGGGAAACACUAGGCUCAUGGUGUUGACAGCUGGACGAACCCAGCUGCUGCAGAAUUCUGUGCUAAGCCUUUAAAGGAGAUCAGUGCUCUCCCAAACUGGGGGAUGGAUGCAGUGUCACCAGGAAGGAGCAGAGCACUGGAGGAGGAGCAACACAGAGCCGAGAGGCAGAGGCUGUCCUGCACCCAGCCUGCCUUGCAGUGGGCAGUGCCAAACGAUGACAGCCUGUGGCAUCUCAUCUUUAUUUUGUCAGUUCCAAUCCACCUCACAACAGCAGCGGCCAGGAACAGUUAUUGCUGCUUCAGUAUCAGUUCUGACUCCCCUACCUGCAUCAAAGAACUGACCCUGCUGAACACCACCAAUGCUAAGGUGUUUUCUAUGUCAAGAGCUGGCAAUGCCUCAUCCCCCAAACCAGGAGUGCUUCCAGUGAUUGCAACCCAAACACAUCACAGCCUUCAGUAUUUUGUCACCUCCUUGAAGGCUGAGGUUGAGAGCUGCACUCCCAUCUCACAGACAGAUAUCUGCUUUGUGCUGGAGAAGACAGUUUCAUACAAUGGCUGGUCUUGGCGUAGGCACAGUGAACUCUAGAUGCUGAAGACAGAUGGACCACCAGAUGGACCCUGGGAAGGAUUGGUUAAAAUGUCAGUGAUAAGCUAACAGAAUGAAAUGCAGUAGACUGAGGAGACUAUUCCGCUGAAAACCAUCUACUGAAAUGGGGUUUGUAUUAUUCACAUUCAUUAAAGCACACUUCAACUGUGCUGUUUUGACAUUUUCUGUUUCGAGACUUUCAAGUCAAGCAGCUCUGUGCUUGCUGUUUUGCUGGGGUUUUUUUUCUUUUCCAAAUGGUUGUUUGAUGAUAGAUUUUCAAAAGUGACCCUAGCUCUUUAAGGUGAUUGCUUUGCCAUUGAGGAAUCUUGCCAUUGUUAUAUUCAGCCAUCAAACUUACAAGUACACCAAUUCAGACUCUGAAGAGCAAACUGAUGUAAGGAUGAAGAUUAUAUAAGGGACAGAAGUGAGUUAUUGCUUGCUUCUGGUAAACUAGCAUAACUUGCUUUCCAAUUCUUACCGUACAUUUACCUGCAAUACUAAUUUCAACAACUUCUUUGGAUUAAGCCUUGAGAAUUUCAUUACAGACAUGGAAAGAAAUGCAUACACGUGGCAGUGUAUCAGCAGUAGGGAACAAGCUAAGACGGGUCAGAAAGACUCCAGGCAGAAGCUUUGUUGCAAAACAGAAACACAAAAUAGAGAUUUGCCUGAUUUCAUAUGGUUCAUCAUUCAGCUGCUUGAUUUCUCCACUCUUCAUUUGCUUCACAAGAAAAAAGCUGUUUCUUUCAAACUUGCAAUAUUAGUUGUGAUUCUGCACCAGUGCCACAUGGCUGGUCUACCCAUAACUUCAUAAGGGAUAUUCUGCAGUUUCAAGUACAAAUCAAUUGUCACAAGAUCAACAUCAAAAUAUCUUCUUUACUGAGUCACACUAUAAAUUCUAUCAUGAAUAUUGCCACUCAAUGAUUCAUAAAUAAAAACAAACGUUAGCAUUGAGAGGUAUUCCUCUCUUACUUGAAAGAAUUCCCA
ensembl:lncRNA